rnacentral:rRNA from 1 species
AUUGAACGCUGGCGGCAGGCCUAACACAUGCAAGUCGAACGAGUGGCGGACGGGUGAGUAAUGUCUGGGAAACUGCCCGAUGGAGGGGGAUAACUACUGGAAACGGUAGCUAAUACCGCAUCCCAUCGGAUGUGCCCAGGUGGGAUUAGCGAGUGGGUGGGGUAAUGGCUCACCUAGGCGACGAUCCCUAGCUGGUCUGAGAGGAUGACCAGCCACACUGGAACUGAGACACGGCCCGGACUCCUACGGGAGGCAGCAGUGGGGAAUAUUGCACAAUGGGCGCAAGCCUGAUGCAGCCAUGCCGCGUGUAUGAAGAAGGCCUUCGGGUUGUAAAGUACUUUCAGCGGGGAGGCGUUACCCGCAGAAGAAGCACCGGCUAACUCCGUGCCAGCAGCCGCGGUAAUUC